UGGGGAAUAUUGCACAAUGGAGGGAACUCUGAUGCAGCGACGCCGCGUGAGUGAUGAAGGAAUUCGUUUCGUAAAACUCUGUUCUAUGGGAAGAAAAGGACUGUACCAUAGGAGAAAGCUCCGGCUAAAUACGUGCCAGCAGCCGCGGUAAUACGUAUGGAGCGAGCGUUGUCCGGAAUUAUUGGGCGUAAAGGGUGCGCAGGCGGAAAUGCAAGUCAGUUGUGAAAGGCAGAGGCUCAACCUCUGUAAGCAAUUGAAACUGUAUUUCUUGAGAUGUGGAGAGACAAGUGGAAUUCCUAGUGUAGCGGGGAAAUGCGUAGAUAUGAGGAAGAAUACCGUUGGCGAAGGCGACUUGCUGGACACAAACUGACGCUGAGGAACGAAAGCGUGGGUAGCAAACAGG
rnacentral:rRNA from 1 species